GACCUGUUACGUCGUGCUGGUAUGUUGAAGUGUAAACCUUCCAGUACUCCGAUGUCUGCCACUGAUCGGUUGUCUGCUCUUGAUGGAGAUCCUCUUUCACCUGAUGAUGCCACUGAGUACCGCAGUCUUGUUGGAGGUCUGCAGUAUCUUACUAUCACCAGACCAGAUGUCUCUUAUGCAGUCAACCGUGUCUGUCAGUUUCUCCAUGCACCCAGGACUUCUCAUUGGUCAGCUGUGAAGCGUAUCCUGCGUUAUGUCUGUCUCACUGCUUCUCAUGGUUUGCUCCUCCAACCUGCGCCAUCUUCUGAGAUCUCAGCCUUCUCCGAUGCAGACUGGGCUGGUAGUCCUGAUGACCGGCGAUCCACGGGGGGGUAUGCAGUGUUUCUUGGUUCUAACUUGGUUGCUUGGAAUGCUCGCAAGCAGGCUACGGUGUCUCGCAGCAGCACGGAAGCUGAGUACAAAGCAGUGGCUGAUGCG
rnacentral:rRNA from 1 species